UACGAAGGGGGCUAGCGUCGCUCGGAAUCACUGAGCGUAAAGCGCACGUAGGCGGAUUGCUAAGUCAGGGGUGAAAUCCUGGAGCUCAACUCCAGAACUGCCUUUGAUACUGGCGAUCUUGAGUCCGGGAGAGGUGUGUGGAACUGCGAGUGUAGAGGUGAAAUUCGUAGAUAUUCGCAAGAACACCAGUGGCGAAGGCGGCUCACUGGCCCGGUACUGACGCCGAGGUGCGGAAGCGUGGGGAGCAAACAGG
rnacentral:rRNA from 1 species